UACGGAGGGUGCAAGCGUUAAUCGGAAUUACUGGGCGUAAAGGGUACGUAGGCGGUUUCUUAAGUCGGAUGUGAAAGCCCCGGGCUUAACCUGGGAAUGGCAUUCGAUACUGGGGAACUUGAAUCUGACAGAGGCUGGUGGAAUUUCCGGUGUAGCGGUGAAAUGCGUAGAUAUCGGAAGGAACAUUAGUGGCGAAGGCGGCCAGCUGGGUCAAGAUUGACGCUGAGGUACGAAAGCGUGGGGAGCAAACAGG
rnacentral:misc_RNA from 1 species